rnacentral:misc_RNA from 1 species
GCAACCAAAUGCUAAUGAAACUAAUGAAGGUAACAUAACACAAUCUACUGCACAUCCUAAGUUGAAAUCUAGGAGUGGGGUUUGGGUUCACUUUGAGAAAUUGAUUAAUUCUAAGGGUAGUGAGAUUGGUAGUGCUUAAUGUGUAUGGUGUAAAAAAGAUCUAAAUUAUAAGAGUGAAAGUGGCACUUCAAGUAUGUGGAAGCAUUUGAGGGAAUUUUGUAAAAAGUUCCCAUAUAAAAAAGAUUUAAAUAAAGAUAAAUAUCAAAAAACCUUGUCUUUUCAUAAAAGUUCUAGAAGUGAGGAUGUUAAGUUGACUUGUUGGCAAUUUGAUUAAGAUGUUUAUAGGGAGGCUUCUGUUAAGAUGAUAAUCAAAGAUGAACUUCCCUUUAGGUUUGUUGAGAAUGAAGGGUUUAUAGAGUUCUUACAAGUUGCUGUGCCACAAUUUUAAAUUCAAUCUAGAUAUAUAAUAGCAAGAGAUUGCUAUCAGUUAUUUAUUUCUUAGAAGAAGAAGAUGUCUACACUUAAUGCAUCUCAGUGUCAAAAGGUUUCUCUAACCAUAGACACAUGGACUAGUGUUCAAAAGUUGUCUUAUUUAUGUUUGAUUGCUCAUUUUAUUGAUUUAGAAUGGAAAAUGCAAAAAUGCUUCUUGAAUUUCACUAUUAUUAAGAGUCACAAAGGGUUGAAUAUUGGGAAUGUCAUUGAUUUUUGAAAGGAAGAGUGGGGUUUGUCUAAGGUUAUGGGCAUCACUAUCGAUAAUGCAUCUUUUAAUGACUCUACUGUUUCACAAUUGAAGAAAAAGCUACUUAGGAAAAAUGCAUUUAUAUUUGGUGGGGACGCAUUUCAUAUGAGGUAUUAUGCUUAUAUCAUACAAUUAGUUGUAAGGGAUGGACUUGAUGUUAUGCAAGGAUCUAUUAAAAGGAUUAGGAAUGUAGUGAAACAUAUAAGGAGCAGUCCACAAAACUCUGAAAUGUUUAAGAAGAAUUGUCAAUUGGCAGGACUCAAGUCUAAAUCCUCUUCAGAAUUAGAUUGUCCAACUAGGUGGAAUUCGACAUAUUUAAUGUUAGAAUCUGCAUUGACAUAUCAAAAAGCCUUUGAUAUGUUAGAAGAUGCAGACAAUCAAUUUCAAACUAAAUUUAGGGAUGAGUUGCCUAGUGAAUUUGAUUGGCAUAAUGCUAGGAUUCUUUGCAAAUUCCUUAAGAAAUUGUACAAUGUCACUUGUAAGUUGUCUGGGUGUUUGUAUUCCACAUCUAGCAUUUACUUUCCUGAGAUCAUGAAAAUUUUAAAAGAAUUGCAUAAUUGUGAAAAUAGUGGAGAU